GGACAACCAAAGAGAAGGGGAAUGAAGACACUUGUGCCAUAAGAAAUGAAUACAUGUAUUAAAUUACUUUACAGGUAAGUAACUCCUACACAAAAAGGAGGAGCUACCCACUGCUAUAUAAAAGAAGAGGCAAAGAAGGAAGAGACAAGAGUCAGGAAUAAGGUCAAAUGAAUCUCCAAAUGGAUCAGAAGUUGCUGGAAAAGAUGAAGACAGAAGCCAAAACAAAUGAAGCCAUGGCAAUCCUAAUGCGCAUGGAUCAGCUACACAGUGGUCUGUCAGCAUCAAUACUGACAAUAGCUUCGAAAUGCUAUGCAAAAGGCAUGAUAGAUGAAGAUAUCUACGAUUGGAUGUUUGAUGGUGAAUGGAAACCUGACAAUGCAAGAGCACAGUUACUUGUUAGAUGCAUUGAAAAAAGGCUUAAAGAAAUGGAUGCAACGAAUGUUGGAACAACAAUCAGAAGUUUUGCAGAAGUGAUAAGAAAAGAAGGCAGUCUUGGUCUUGAGCAGAUAGCUCAACAAUUGGAUAGUUGCAAAACUGCUGAAGAUUUUAGAGAUAUUUCUGAUACAAUAUCCACUGGCAUUGCUUCAUCUCUGACUACCAUUGCAAUGGGAGCAGUGGCCAACGGAAUAAUCUCUUUUUCAGAGUGUGUGGCAUGCACUCAAGGAGAUGCUACUGCAGAGGCUAGGCGUACACAACUUGUCCUCCAGCAAAUAUUCCAUGGAGCAGCUGAGAACCCUAAGGUACUAUACGACUUUAUGAAGAUUCUUGAGAAAAAAGGAAAACCAAUUAGCAACCAAUGUGACGGAAUAAAUAUGGUACUGAGACAGUUGUCAGCAAAUACUGGUCAAGAGGGUAUAGAUGGUGAUGAUGAUGCAGAUGAAAAAAUUGAUGUCAACUGAAUUUCAUAAAUAUUAACUUUGUUAAACUUUUCUAUAAAUAAAUAUAUUUUUCUACUUUAAAAUGAAAUGACUCAAAAAUGAAAAGCACAGCAUAGCAUAGCAUAUAAUGUGCUGACACAUAUGCAUGACAUCAUAUACUCAAUGAAUCCAUUUAACUGAGCAGGAAACUAAAAGACAGAUAGACAGAUUAGGAAAAACAAGAGGAAAGAGAGCAAGAAAGAGAGAGAGAAAGCAUGGGAGACCAACUACUUGAAGUUGAUAGGAAGAUGAAGGAAGAAGCAACCAAUAAAGAAGGAAGGGCAUUCCUUGAGAACAUCUCCAGACUAGAGCUGGGCCUGUCAUCCACCAUAACAACAGUAGCUCUGCACUGCUAUUCCAAAGAGCUCAUUCCUGGUGAAGUCUAUGAAGGAAUGUUUGAAGGAGAAUGGAAUCCAGAGUAUUCAAGAGCUCUGUACUUCCUCAAUCGUGUGCACAAGAAACUGAGACAAUAUGAAGACCUUGAUGACACUGGAGCUGUGAAAAGAACCAUCACAACUCUUGCCAGCAUAAUAAGAAGUGACAGUGCCCUAGAGCACAUAGCCAAAAUACUAGACAGAUGCUCCACUGCUACACAAUUCAAAAUGAAUUCUCCUAACAUAUAUCAAGGCAUACAGACAUCACUGAUUAGCAUUGCAAUGGGAGCAGCUGCAAAAAAUAUCAUCACAUAUUCCGAGUGUCAGGCCUGCGUUCAAGGAGACGCCAAUGCAGAAGGAAGACGUACAAGAAUGGUGCUCAACGAGAUUUACAAAGGAAUAAACGAGGACUCAAAAGUAUUGGGGAAAUUUCUAGAUAUACUGAGGAAAAUGGGACCGCCUACUAGCAAUUACUGCAAACCAAUAG